UGACUUUCUUUCUAGUCAAACCUUUUUAAAGUUUGACUAAGCUUAUAGAAAAUAUAGCAACAUUUUUAACACAAAACAAACAUAUUAUCAAAAUAUAUUCAAAUUUGUAUUUAAUGAAACUAAUUUGGUAUUUAAGAUGUUGCUAAAUUAUUCUAUAAACUUUAUCAAACCUAAAGAAGUUUGACUAGAAAGAAAGUCAA
rnacentral:pre_miRNA from 1 species